rnacentral:rRNA from 1 species
AUUGAACGCUCGCGGCAGGCUUAACACAUGCAAGUCGAGCGGUAGCACAGGGGAGCUUGCUCCCUGGGUGACGAGCGGCGGACGGGUGAGUAAUGUCUGGGAAACUGCCUGAUGGAGGGGGAUAACUACUGGAAACGGUAGCUAAUACCGCAUAACGUCGCAAGACCAAAGAGGGGGACCUUCGGGCCUCUUGCCAUCAGAUGUGCCCAGAUGGGAUUAGCUAGUAGGUGGGGUAAUGGCUCACCUAGGCGACGAUCCCUAGCUGGUCUGAGGGGAUGACCAGCCACACUGGAACUGAGACACGGUCCAGACUCCUACGGGAGGCAGCAGUGGGGAAUAUUGCACAAUGGGCGCAAGCCUGAUGCAGCCAUGCCGCGUGUGUGAAGAAGGCCUUCGGGUUGUAAAGCACUUUCAGCGAGGAGGAAGGUGGUGAGCUUAAUACGUUCAUCAAUUGACGUUACUCGCAGAAGAAGCACCGGCUAACUCCGUG